CUUUUGGAGCCUGUCUAUAAUCCCAGCAGUUUGGAAGGCUGAGGCAGGAGGAUCACAUGUUCAAAGCCAGACUUAGAAAUUGGUCUCUAAGUAAAAUUUUUAAAAGGGCUGGGAAUGUUGCUCAGUGGUUAAGCUCCCCUGGGUUCAAUCCCUGGUACCGAAAAGAAACAAAGAAAAAUUGUCUUUUCUAAGAAUCUAUUGUUCAAUGCAGGGUCAUGAGAUUUUUACAUGAUUUUUGCUAAGAAUCUUGUAGUUUCAAUUCUCAUAUUUACACAUUUCUUCCAUUUAAAAUCAAUUGUGUAAAGUGUGAGAUAGUGUUUGAGAUUGUGUUCCAUGUUUUAUAUGGAUGGAUAGUUGUUCCAGAUGAUUUGAAACCAUUUUUCCUAUAACGUCUUGGCAUUCUCCUUGAAAAAUAAUCGACCAUAAAUAUAAGGAUCUAUUUCUAAAUUCUAUUCCAUUUACUUAUAUCUUUUUGCAGUAAUGAAUUUGAAUCUAGGAGCACUCUACCACUGAGAUUUAUCCCCAGUUCAUUUUUUUGUUUUGUUUUGUUUUGUUUUGAGACAAGAUCUUGCUAUGUUCCCAAGGGUUACCUCAAAGUGUCAAUUCUCCUGUCUCAGUCACCUGAGUUGCAGGUACUAUAGGCAUCCACAACCACGCCUGGCAAUAUUAUUCCAUUUAAUCAUUUUGUAUGUGUGACUCAGUACUGAUUACAGUAACAUUUUAAAAAUAGCUUUGAUGAAGAUGUACUAAAUAUACAUAAUAAAUUGUCUCUGCAUGGUAUUUUAACACAUAUGCCAUAUCCACUGAUGAAAUUCUGUUCUCAUUCCCCACCUCCACUCUUUAACCUUUAAAAAUC
rnacentral:lncRNA from 1 species